rnacentral:lncRNA from 1 species
AGCUAUACUAGGGAUUUCAGAUGACGUGCUUUGAGGCUCAGAUGAAUCAUUUGAUGCAACAUUUUCAGAAGAUGCAAUAGAAUUGUCAAGUGCAAAAACAUCAUCAUUCACAGGCAAUACAAACGGAGAAUCAUUAUCAUCAUCAUUCACCAAAGAAGUAGAAGAACCAUUCACAGAAGAACUUACAGAAGAAGCUUCAUCUACUUUUAUAUUGAUAGACUCUAUCACCGUCUUA